rnacentral:tRNA from 1 species
GCGGGCGUGGCGGAAUGGCAGACGCGCUGGCUUCAGGUGCCAGUGGGCUUCGGCCCGUGAAGGUUCAACUCCUUUCGCCCGCACCA